AGAUACGAAAGUAAGUUAGUUGCUUUCUUACUCGAUGUUUUUCACUCGUUCUUCUCGACCGAGGCAUGGUCUACGAAUUGGAUAUUAGGAUCGGUCUUUUCCGCAUUGAAUUUCAUCGAGUGCACAUGGUUAAGUUCUUGUUGCCUAGAAUCGCUUUAAAUUGACAAUGAAAAUGAAGAUAAAGCCAACAAUUGAAGAACGCAUUAUGAAAGUUUCCUGACAAAAAAUUUUUAAAAAAAAAAUUUGGAAUGAAUGAAUGCGGAUUUCGACGAAUCCUCGAUGCAAUGCUCACAUAAAAUGGUGCUCAUGAAAAUGGCAAUUGAUUUAACAUAGUCUUGCAACACCGAGAAAAUGCAGUAAAAAAAGUGCAUUUACACGUGAGCAUCGAAAAUUCAAAAUGGCGUCCUCUGGUUUUGAAAGGUGUCUUCAUAGUUAGAAUGCCGCUGUCUGAAAUGAUGAACUUAAGAGAUUGAAUUUCAAAAGUUUUAUUUAAAUAAAAUAAAUUUAAAAUCCAAAUUUUGUUGUGUUUUCAAUAUUAAGAAUAAGAUUGGAAAAUCUAUAUAAAGUAGUCCUUAUGCAAUAGUAGGGCAUCAUAAUUGUUUUGGGAAAUAUCAACACGAAGUGUGAAAAAAGAGGUGUGUUCGAUAGAAAUCUAUUGCCGAGCUGGCGGCUUCACAUCAUGAAUUGGGUUACGUAGACUGUUUCGACAGUCGGGCGCUUUCGGAUUUUUGUCCAGUCAAAGGCUAUCAGCUCUGGAUAUUGGAUCUGUUUUCUAUACAACACAGUAAUGUAGGCCCGACUUGGUGGAAAAAGAUAUAGUUCAUAUAUUUAAUCUCCUCACAUACGCACUUGCAUUAUACAAACGGUCAUCAGUUACAUUUCUAAUGUUUUUACCGCUAAAACAACCUAGUUCCUUUAAAAUACCCCGUUGCCUAAGAGAUUGCAUAAUUGAAUAUAUUAAAAAACUUUCAAAAUAUAUGCGACUGAAAAUCACUAUCGUAGAGGUCCUAUUAGUCUAACCUACAGAAAAACGAUUUUUACCUAAGCAGCCUCUUCUAAAACUAGUCUACGUUGCUUACACCUACCAUUUGUAGUUAUCGAUUAGUUUUUAUAUUUACUAAAAAUUAAAAGUAGCAACUUUCCAGUAAUCGUAUUCCCUAAUAUUUGGUAAAAUAUAUUACCAAAUAUUGAUUAAAUAAAAAAAAGAUAUUUUGACUUUUUUUUUAUUGGUUCU